CCAUUGCCAACAUAACUUUAAAAUACUUAUUUUAAGUAGCAUUUACAGUGUAUUCUCAAAAGUAGAAUGCUUACAGCUAAAUUUGUUUUCGUUUUGCCCUAGUGCAUAGAAUUUGAAUAAAUAAAAGGCUUUUCAAUGGCGAACUUGAAAACAACUCCAUUAUGGCUGCUUUUAUUGCUUCAAGUGAUUAUUGUUCGUGGCGAACGUACGCGGGAUACAAUGUAUCAACCAAUUUUGGGCGCCAGUUGCUUUCGCCGAUUAAACGGCACACAUCAGACUGGAUGCUCAUCGACUCAUUCCGGAUCUGUCGGCGUUUUGCACUUGAUCAAUUACGAUGCUGACCUAGACUUUUUGCUUGGGAAUCCCCCUUCACCGCCAUACGCGCCGAUGAUCCCGCCACAUCUAUUCACUAGGAGCAACUUGUUGCGUCUAAAAGAGGCCGGACCAAAAAUUAUUUCAGCUGUACUGCUGAUAAACAAAUCGGAGAAGAUGCAGCAGUUCUCACAUGAGCUUUCUUGCCCAAAUAAGUACAGUGGAAUAGGAAGGGGCGGCAAUAGCAGCGAGACCUGUGAUGAAAGCAAUACUGCUCUCACUUGGAAUCCUUGGGGUACAGGACUACUGCACGAGGACUUUCCGUUCCCCAUCUACUAUAUAGCCGACUUCGAUGAAAUACUCAAGUUAGAGAACUGCUUUACCAAGUUCAAUAGUGUUAACUUCGACUCGCAAGCAUUGCGCAGCUUAUGCGCUGUCGAAGUGAAGGCAUUCAUGUCGGCAGCUGUUAACUCGGAAGUUUGCAUGCGUCGUACCAAUUUCAUCAACAAUCUGGGGGGUAGUAAAUACUGUGAUCCUUUGGAAGGUCGAAAUGUUUAUGCUACAUUGUAUCCCCGAAAUUCGUCUGAAUUUAUUGACGAAACUAAAUUGCGUAAGUCGAAUCCCGCCGAGAAGUUCAUAAUUAUUUCAUGUCGCUUAGACACCACAAGCAUGUUUGAUGGAGUGGGUGUGGGAGCCAUGGAUUCGCUCACAGGCCUGGCGACGUUGACAAUCGUGGCGCAUAUGUUGCGACAGCUGCUGCCGGAUCAGAACACUUUACCAGAUCCCCAUCGAAAUGUUCUUUUUGUGGCAUUCAAUGGUGAAUCCUAUGAUUUCAUUGGAUCUCAGAGAUUUGUCUACGAUAUGGAGAAUCUGAAUUUCCCCCGCCGUUCGGCACAAAGCACCCCAAUUUCAUUUGAGAAUAUCGAGUUUAUGCUAGACAUUGGCACUUUAGACGACAUUCGCAACAUUAGGCUGCACACACUUCACAAAUCUUCGACGGUGGCCCAAAAAUUACUACAGCAGCUUAAUCGUUAUGCAAAGUCUUCUCUCUAUGAUUUUCAAUUGAACAUCGGAUCUAAUGCUGGCUAUAACAUGCCACCAACGUCAGCACAGUCAUUUCUUCGUCGAGAUGACAAUUUCCCGGCUUUUAUAUUAAAUGCAUUACCUAGCAAUAAGUACUAUCACUCGAUAUAUGAUGAUCGAGAUAAUGUUGGGUUUAUGUAUGCGAAUACCAGCCAAGAUUAUACAGCUUUGACUGAUGUCAGCGACUUUAAGAACUUCAAUGCUAAUUCUCUUCAAAUGAAAAUUCGAAAUGUGUCUUCAAUAGUGGCUAUGGUUCUUUAUGAGACUUUAACUGGUCGACAGUAUGAAUACAAAGAUGUGGCCAAUCCUGUGUUAUCCGAUGAGUUUUUCUACUGUUUCCUUCAGUCUUCCGACUGCCCGUUGUUUAAAGCUUCUUCGAAUCCGGAUAGUCCCCCUGGUCUACCACUGCCCCCCAUGCGGUACAUAAGCGUUUUGGGAGGCUCGCAAGAAUCAUCAGGCUGGACAUAUCGCAUGCUGGGCUAUUUGUUAUCGCAGCCGCAACCACAAGUGCUAAAAGAGAAUUGCACCCAGUUGCCUCUAUUUUAUUAUUCUGGCUUCAAUGGUACUGGGGAAUGCCGUCUCACCACACAGAACUACACUCAUGCUUUAAGUCCGGCAUUUCUUAUAAAUAAUUAUAAUUGGAGCUCAGGCCAAUACUCUACAUGGACUGAAUCAACGUGGUCACAAUUUAGCGCUCGUAUUUUUUUACGACCUUCCAAGAUGCAUGAAAUCACCAUUUUAAGUAUUGGUAUUGUGGUAUUCAUCAUAUCGUUCUGUUUGAUAUAUAUCAUCAGCUCACGGUGGGAAGUACUUUUUGAUGAUGUACCUGCUAGCAAUGCAGCAUUAUUUAAUUGACGUUUUUUUAAUUAACUCUGCUGGACCAGCAGCACAAUCUACUAAAGCGUCUUCAUCUAUCAGCUGUGCAUGCUAAAUAUACUUCGAAAUUUCCGCCUCCAACGAAUUGUUAGUGCAAAAUUAUUGCUUGCAUGGACGCAAAUAAAAAUUGAAAGAAAACCAGGAUGAAUUAACAGAGAAGACACUAAAAAGAUCUUUUAACGUUUAAAGUUAAAGCGUAGGAUAUAAAUAAUUAUUUUAAUGUAUGUAUUUUUGUAUUUUAAACACAUAAGAAUAGCAUAUUACUUGUAUUAUAACAUCGUCAGUUUUUAAUUGUACUAAUUUGCCAAAUCAAAUUAAACAAUAAAUUGAUCUAACAAUCUGA